rnacentral:tRNA from 1 species
AGAUUUUAAGUUAAAAAAACUUUAUGCCUUCAAAGUAUACAAUAAAUAUAAUAUUUAAAUCUU